GAAAUGCGAUAAGUAAUGUGAAUUGCAGAAUUCAGUGAAUCAUCGAAUCUUUGAACGCACAUUGCGCCCGCCAGUAUUCUGGCGGGCAUGCCUGUUCGAGCGUCAUUUCAACCCUCAGGGCCCCCCCCCCUCGCGGGGUGCGCGCCCUGGUGUUGGGGACCGGCAUCCGCGGCGGAAGGUUGAGGGGGAAGAGAGAGAGGGGGUGGGAGGCGUCACUGCCCUCUGGCCCUCCUCCCCUCUCUUCCCUCCCCCAACCCCCGUCGCGCCGCCCCCGAAAUGGAUUGGCGGUCUCGUCGCGACCUCCUCUGCGUAGUAGCACAACCUCGCAACGGGAGCGCGGCGCGGCCACUGCCGUAAAACGCAACACAACUUCUCAAGAGUUGACCUCGAAUCAGGUAGG
rnacentral:misc_RNA from 1 species